UACGUAGGGGCCGAGCGUUGUCCGGAGUUAUUGGGCGUAAAGCGCGCGCAGGCGGCCUCGCGCGCCCGACGUGAAAGCCCCCGGCUUAACCGGGGAGGGUCGUUGGGGACGGCGGGGCUUGAGGGCGGGAGAGGUCGGUGGAAUUCCCGGUGUAGUGGUGAAAUGCGUAGAGAUCGGGAGGAACACCAGUGGCGAAGGCGGUGGCCUGGACCGAUCCUGACGCUGAGACGCGAAGGCGUGGGGAGCGAACGGG
rnacentral:rRNA from 1 species